CCAGUCCCUUUGAGUAGUCUCUCCUACAUCUAUGGUCAUACAACUACUGAAUGUGUUUCAUUUUCUACUACAUAGCCAGCUUGGCACACCUACUAUGCUUUGAUGGAUGACACUAGUUUGACAUUCUAGCUGUAAAAGCCCAGCAGUUUACAAUUGAGCCCGAGUCAGUGGUACAAGCCGAGGGAUUAUUUGCAAAGUUUGAGUGCCUGUCUCCUGCAUCAGCUCAUGCUUGGCUUGUGAAUGACCUUCAGUCUAGAGACUCUAACUUUUCAUCUGAAAUCAGAGUAGCUGGAGGCACUUUAGGUCGCCCCUCUGUGCUGAUAAUCCCAGCUAGCUCACAGUUCAACAACAGUGUCAUUCAGUGUGCAGCAUUUUCAGUGAGUGGUGUAGUGUUCUCAAGGAAUGCAACAUUGAUAGUUGAUUGUGUAAUGCUUGAGGUGUUGAAUGGUGAAACCAAAAUUACCGUCUCCAUAAUGAAUAAUUUCACUAUGAAUAACCUCGCCUAUCGUGUGGACAUCUCCCUGGUGCCUCUGGUCACCAAUGAGAUGGUUGCACUUCCUCCUCUAAAUGGGAUUCAAAAUCAAGUGCAGUUUAAUUAUCAACAACUUAAGAACCACACUGUCUGUGAUAUAUUCACCUUCACUGUAACUCCAAUUACUAGUGAGUCAGGAGUGGAAGGAAAUCAGAGUGAACCAGUCACUGGGUUCUUUACACAAGUAU